rnacentral:rRNA from 1 species
CNNUUGCNCGAAGCGAACUUUCCAGNAGAUGGAUUCNGUGCCUUCGGGNAACGCUCAGACAGGUUCNGCAUGGCCGUCGUCAGCUCGUGUUGUGAAAUGUUGGGUUAAGUCCCGUAACGAGCGCAACCCUUGUCCCUAUUUGCCAGCGAUUCGGUCGGGAACUCUAGGGAGACUGCCGGUGACAAACCGGAGGAAGGUGGGGACGACGUCAGGUCAUCAUGGCCCUUACGAGUAGGGCUACACACGUGCUACAAUGGCCGGUACAAUGGGCUGCAAUCCCGCGAGGGGGAGCUAAUCUCAUAAAGCCGGUCUCAGUCCGGAUCGGAGUCUGCAACUCGACUCCGUGAAGUCGGAAUCGCUAGUAAUCGU